CGCGUGUGCGUAUAACUUCUCGCGUAUCUCGAAAAUAUGCCAGACUGGAAAUAUACGCUCAAAGGAGCGAGCACUCAUUUCUUCCACUUGAACUGGCAUAUUCAAGCGCGCAUAAGAGCACUCACGGAUGGAGAGAAAUAAUAACGAAUCGUUUAAUUCGAAGAAUGUAAUAACCCUUUCCAUCGCGCAUGGCUUCAGAAAUUACCUCAGUCAUCUAACAUGGCGAUUUGCGAAGGGAACUCGCUUGCAGAAGUCAUCCUUUCGAUAAUUGUUGAACGAGUAAUACGUAAAGAUAUACAAGACUAAACGAAGAUGAAAGCAGUUCCAAGAGCCCAGAAUUAUUGCAGAGGAGCCUAGUUGACCGAUAUCUGAAUUAUAAUUACGUUCAAAGAAGAUACAUGGAUUUCUACGUUCAACGUGAUAAUUAAACAUUCAACAUCUGAAAUGAAACACACGUACAUCGGUACUUCUUGUUUUUCCUUACAUCAGACGAUAUGUCCUAUUUGGAUAAGACAAAUAUCCGACCGUCAACCAGAUUAGGAAAGGAAAACGUUUUUCUCUUCAGUCUUAUGUUUAAAUGAUUUUAUCAUGGCGACGAGAGUAUUUCUAUCGAUGAGUGGGUUAUUAGGUCUCUUACCUUAAGCAAUUUUAAAGGUAUUAUUUCAAUAUAAAUCAAGAAUCCGUAUAAUUUUCAACUGCUGUAAUAAAGAAUAUUCGAUAUAGGAAACAAAAUGCUUGAUGUAGGAGAGGAGAUGGUAAAAACGGCGGAGGAAGCUGAUGCUGCUUACGAGUUUAUUACAAAUCUUGCCAAUAAUCUGAAACCCAAGUUGGUGAGAGAGGAAGCUAAUUAUCUGGUGUAUGAAAGCAACAUGUUACUAUUGCUAGAACAAUACUAUAACAACCAUCGACUUCAAUAUUGAAUUUAAAUAAACGAGCGCAUUGGAUCGUGAAUGCAGAAGAGUGGUUUAAAAAGCAGUUGGAAAUUCUAACCAAGGAAGAAACAUCGUUAGCUAUUGUUCAUGUAUGCGUUAUCUGAUUGAGAAUACUUAAGAAGAGGAAAAAGAAGAAAAAACAUUUGUGCUUGACGACGAAGCUUGGAAAGACCAAUAUGGCGCUGUUUUAUGAAGCUUGGAACAGCGGUAAGAGGAAAUGGGAGAGAUUUACAUUUUUCAAAGGAUCCAAACGUGAGCGGCUUUAGCUGGAGCGUAUAUUCGAUUGAACUCGGAAAGAUUUAUUGAAAGGUCCUCCGAAGUUUCCCAUGAGGCAAGAAUCAAAGGGGACUUGACAUGAAACUGCGGGAUGUAUAUAAUACAGAAUAAUUUAGCAGACAGGAAUAACCAAAAGAUUCACCGUUUUUGGAAAUAAUGACUAGCAGUGGAAUACUUUUAAAUUAAACGUGAAAUAGGAAGUCCAUGUUCACGUCAUCGUUAUUCCAUUGAUUUAAAUUAAGUAAUCAUCCGAUAUAAUUAAAACGAGAGAAACGUUGAAUUUUAUAUUCCAAUUUGUUUGUCAUGAUAUUCACAUCUAUUUAAAAAAUAUUCGUAAUAUUUAAUUAGCGUUUUCCAUAAAUUUUGAAAUUGGACGAAGUAAUUUGGUCAGUAGCGCGAAUUGCCCAUUUAAUUCGUUCUGAAAAGGAUUUAGUAACAAUGAAUGUCCGUGAUACGUUCUCCGUUACUUAUCAUUAAGUACCUUCCUUUUAAAUCUUUCGUUAUUAACUCUCUUCAUCUGCGUGCGCAUCUAUCUGCGUCAGUCGAGUGGCCGGGAUGGAGUAUGCUGUUCUGUGUUCGUGGGUGCGUCUAACUGCUGGCUUAUGUUGAAUAUAAGGAAAUAAUCCUUUCAUUUGCUUUUCUUUCAUCAGACCAAGCAGAUAAUUGAAGUUUAGCUGUACCAUUUAAUUACCUAUGUAGAUUCAUUGUUUGACAAUACAGUUACAUAUUGUGCAGAGUUAUGGACUAUAUUCUUAGACAUCAAUUGAUUUGGAACAUAAUAUAGGAAAUUUAAGAUAACUAGAAUUAUAACGGGGUUAUUAUUUUGCAUUCUCCAAUAGGAGGUAAUUUUCUAAAAAAAUGUAUUCGUUCAUAUGGAAGAAUCCAUUCUUCCUACUACAUCGAUCUGCAGAAGACUUAAUCAGGGAAUUAAAUCGUUCAGCUAAAUGGAUAAUUGAAUUAUUCCGCUAGUCGUUUUAUGGAAUUGUCUGCUUUGUUUGAUGAAAGGAAGACUAAUGAAGAAAUACCUUUCUUCUUUUCAAAAUAAGGGAGCAAGUGUACGUUGACACGCGCACUCAUUCCCGCCCACUUGACUCGCGUACGUAAACGCGUACGUGCACGGAUGGAGGUAAUAAUAAAUCGUUUAAUAUGAUAAGGCUGGACAGUAGCUAUGAGAGAAGGUAUUGCGUACGCGCAGAUCGUUAAAUUCCGAUCAAUACUCGUUAACAGGGGAAUUUGUAGACAUGGAGGAUCGUAUAUUUUUGCAAAAAAAUUAAUAUUUUGUACUUUAUAGUUUUUUACGAUGUCUAUGAUAAGUGUUGAAUCAAUUCUUUUUCAACAUUAUCAUCCCUCGCAUUAUGUACGAAAUCUCUCCGUUUUUUGUUGGAUGUCGUCACUAUCACUUCUAUCGUUUUCUUUCGGAUUAAUAUUCAUUUUUUCUAACCGUGUAAAUGUCUACCUGGAAUUCCUCUUCGGUAUUACUUACAGCACGAAACUCACUCGUGUUUGGAAAUUUUGCGAUUCUCUUAAUAAAAAAGAAGUAAAUAAGUAAACGGAUUGGUAGUCUCAAAUUGUAUAUUACGACAUCACGGAAUGAUACAUAACAAUAAUAUAAUACUUUCCUGGUUUCCUGACUAAUUACUCGAGGGAUCUAUUUAUACUACUCGAAGUUUCAAUAGGAAGUGAGCUCAGCUUUGAAAAUCUCUUUCCCCAGUUUUAUGAAUACUUGUUUACUUCAUCAAAUAUCACUAUAUCGUACGAGGCAUACUCAUGUACUAUUACAAACAAAUCCUUCUUAUCGCUCUCUUUAAGCACAUUAGAUAAGCGUCCAGACCGCUGUGAACGUACUUCUUUUUCAUAAGUAUACAAUAAUCACUAUUGUAGUAAUUAAUUAUAUUAUAAAUAAUUACAGUUUUAUGAUUAUUUCAGUUAAAGAAGAUCAGAAUAAUUGUCAAUUUCAUUGAAAGAUUCCCAGAUUCAUGAGAUUAUUUUGCGUGUACAUUAAUUAUAUUUACUGUUACUACAUAAUUACAGUAGAGGGGAAAUUUCUCAUCCCUUGCGUUCUAAUUAGAGAAUUAAAAUCCAGAAAGUUUGGUUUUCUAAUUUGAAAAUGUCACCUUCAACUGUAAUUAUUAUUACUUACAUUAUGAUAUAAUGCAUUAUUAUUAAUGAUUAUUUCAAUUAUUAACGUUAUAUCGAAUUAAUUGCUAUGAAAGUAUUUAAAUUAACUCACGUACGAAAAUUCUUGUUUCCUCUUUCGUAAAUCCAAGUUAUACUUAAAAAUAGUGUUCCAUUACUAUUGGAUAUGGACGAUACUACUAUUUUCGUAUUACGUAAUUCCUUUUGUGAAAUCUUCUUUUCUAAAAUAUUUCUUCGUCGGAAGGUAUAUCUUCUUUGGUAUUCUUUGAAAACAUUGCAUCCAAUGUUAUCUUUCCUUCUUGUAAACACAUACCUAUUGCUUAAGUUAACAAAGACAUCCUUUUCUUUAUUACGCAAUAGUAAUAAAAUAUAUUGCUUCGAAUAAAA